GCAGCGGUUUAGCUCAGUGGUUACUUCUAUCGAAUGGCUGAUAACUAGCUCUACCGACCUCCGGGUCAGGGGUUCGAACUACGGGCGCCGUCCGCUGUUUUU
rnacentral:vault_RNA from 1 species